rnacentral:lncRNA from 1 species
GGGCCAACGGAGGCGCCUUGAAGGAGCGCGGCAGACAUGAGCAGGGCGAAGCGGUUCCUCUCCUGGUCCCGUGAGGCGGGCAGGGAGAUGAGGUAGGCGAUGGCGGCCAGGCAUCCGACGGUCGUGAGGGUGCCUCCGACGUUGAGGAGGAUGUGGAGGUAGGCGCCGAGCGCAGAGAAGACCAGCGCGGAGCAUAGGGUGAGGUAAACCUGCCGUCGGAACGGGAUCAGUCAAAGCAAAGGGUAAGAAGAGAAUCGGGAUGCGAAUGCGGGGGAAAAGGAGACAAGGGACUUGC